rnacentral:rRNA from 1 species
GACGAACGCUGGCGGCGUGCCUAAUACAUGCAAGUCGAACGCUGAAGGCGGAGCUUGCUUCUCUGGAUGAGUUGCGAACGGGUGAGUAACGCGUAGGUAACCUGCCUGGUAGCGGGGGAUAACUAUUGGAAACGAUAGCUAAUACCGCAUAAGAGUAGAUGUUGCAUGACAUUUGCUUAAAAGGUACAAUUGCAUCACUACCAGAUGGGCAUGCGUUGUAUUAGCUAGUUGGUGGGGUAACGGCUCACCAAGGCGACGAUACAUAGCCGACCUGAGAGGAUGAUCAGACACAGUGGGAGUGAGACACGGCACAGAAUGAUAGGGGAGGAAGCAGUGGGGAAGAGUGGACAAUGGGCGAAAGCGUGAUCCAGCAAUGCCGCGUGAGUGAUGAAGGCCUUAGGGUUGUAAAGCUCUUUUACCCGGGAUGAUAAUGACAGUACCGGGAGAAUAAGCGCCGGCUAACUCCGUG